UACGGAGGGUGCGAGCGUUGUUCGGAAUCACUGGGCGUAAAGGGCGUGUAGGCGGUCCGCUAAGUCGGGUGUGAAAUCCCUGGGCUCAACCCAGGAAGUGCACUCGAAACUGGCGGGCUAGAGUAUCGGAGAGGUUGGUGGAAUUCUCGGUGUAGAGGUGAAAUUCGUAGAUAUCGAGAGGAACACCGGUGGCGAAGGCGGCCAACUGGACGAAUACUGACGCUGAGACACGAAAGCGUGGGGAGCAAACAGG
rnacentral:rRNA from 1 species